AUGAACGCUAGCGACAGGCUUAACACAUGCAAGUCGAGGGGCAGCACAGGUAGCAAUACCGGGUGGCGACCGGCGCACGGGUGAGUAACGCGUAUGCAACUUACCUAUCAGAGGGGGAUAACCCGGCGAAAGUCGGACUAAUACCGCAUGAAGCAGGGGCCCCGCAUGGGGAUAUUUGCUAAAGAUUCAUCGCUGAUAGAUAGGCAUGCGUUCCAUUAGGCAGUUGGCGGGGUAACGGCCCACCAAGCCGACGAUGGAUAGGGGUUCUGAGAGGAAGGUCCCCCACAUUGGUACUGAGACACGGACCAAACUCCUACGGGAGGCAGCAGUGAGGAAUAUUGGUCAAUGGGCGCGAGCCUGAACCAGCCAAGUCGCGUGAGGGAUGAAGGUUCUAUGGAUCGUAAACCUCUUUUAUAAGGGAAUAAAGUGCGGGACGUGUCCCGUUUUGUAUGUACCUUAUGAAUAAGGAUCGGCUAACUCCGUGCCAGCAGCCGCGGUAAUACGGAGGAUCCGAGCGUUAUCCGGAUUUAUUGGGUUUAAAGGGUGCGUAGGCGGCCUUUUAAGUCAGCGGUGAAAGUCUGUGGCUCAACCAUAGAAUUGCCGUUGAAACUGGGGGGCUUGAGUAUGUUUGAGGCAGGCGGAAUGCGUGGUGUAGCGGUGAAAUGCUUAGAUAUCACGCAGAACCCCGAUUGCGAAGGCAGCCUGCCAAGCCAUGACUGACGCUGAUGCACGAAAGCGUGGGGAUCAAACAGGAUUAGAUACCCUGGUAGUCCACGCAGUAAACGAUGAUCACUAGCUGUUUGCGAUACAUUGUAAGCGGCACAGCGAAAGCGUUAAGUGAUCCACCUGGGGAGUACGCCGGCAACGGUGAAACUCAAAGGAAUUGACGGGGGCCCGCACAAGCGGAGGAACAUGUGGUUUAAUUCGAUGAUACGCGAGGAACCUUACCCGGGUUUGAACGCAUUUCGACCGCUCUGGAAACAGAGCCUCUAGCAAUAGCGAUUUGCGAGGUGCUGCAUGGUUGUCGUCAGCUCGUGUCGUGAGAUGUUGGGUUAAGUCCCGCAACGAGCGCAACCCUUGCCACUAGUUACUAACAGGUGAUGCUGAGGACUCUGGUGGGACUGCCAGCGUAAGCUGCGAGGAAGGCGGGGAUGACGUCAAAUCAGCACGGCCCUUACAUCCGGGGCGACACACGUGUUACAAUGGCGUGGACAAAGGGAAGCCACCUGGCGACAGGGAGCGAAUCCCCAAACCACGUCUCAGUUCGGAUCGGAGUCUGCAACCCGACUCCGUGAAGCUGGAUUCGCUAGUAAUCGCGCAUCAGCCAUGGCGCGGUGAAUACGUUCCCGGGCCUUGUACACACCGCCCGUCAAGCCAUGGGAGCCGGGGGUACCUGAAGUCCGUAACCGCGAGGAUCGGCCUAGGGUAAAACUGGUGACUGGGGCU
rnacentral:rRNA from 1 species